rnacentral:rRNA from 1 species
GACGAACGCUGGCGGCGUGCUUAACACAUGCAAGUCGAACGGAAAGUCCCUGCUUUUGUUUGGUGCUCGAUUGGCGAACGGUUGAGAAACACGUAAGUACCCUGCCCUUGACUUUGGGAUAACUUCAGGAAACUGUGGCUAAUCCCGAAUAUGAGCUCCUACUGCAUGUUGGGGUUUUGAAAGUUUCGUCGGCUGUGGAUGAGCUCUCGGAUUAGCAGGUUGGUUGGGGGGGAGUGGCUUAGCAAGGCUGUGAAUGGUAGCCGGGCUGGGAGGGUGAAAGGGCACAUAGGGAAUGAGGUAAGGCCCAGACUCCUACGGGAGGGAGGAGUGGGGAAUAUUGCAACAUGGGCGGAAGCCUGAUGUAGAGACGCUGCGUGCGGGAUGACGGGUUUUUGGUUGUGAACAGUUUUUGCAUUUGACGAAGAGUGAGUGACGGUAAUGGGUAAAGAAGCAACGGCUAAAUACGUG